CAGCCAUAUCACUUUGAAACACCUGUCCUUGUACAAUCACCAAAGUUCAGCAAUGUCAAGCCUGAUCAGUACCUUGAUGGGUGACCACUUGGGAAUAUCAGGUGUUGUAAG